AUUGAACGCUGGCGGCAGGCCUAACACAUGCAAGUCGAACGAGUGGCGGACGGGUGAGUAAUGUCUGGGAAACUGCCUGAUGGAGGGGGAUAACUUCUGGAAACGGUAGCUAAUACCGCAUACCAUCAGAUGUGCCCAGAUGGGAUUAGCUUGUGGGUGGGGUAACGGCUCACCAAGGCGACGAUCCCUAGUUGGUCUGAGAGGAUGACCGGCAACACUGGGACGGGAACACGUUCAAGACUCCUACGGGAGGCAGCAGUGGGGAAUAUUGCACAAUGGGCGCAAGCCUGAUGCAGACAUGCGGCGUGUGUGAAGAAGGCCUUCGGGUUGAAAAGUACUUUCAGCGGGGAGGCGUUACCCGAAGAGAAAGCACCGGCUAACUACGUGCCAGCCGCCGCGGUAAUAC
rnacentral:rRNA from 1 species